UUUUUAGUAUAAAUAUAUAACUCCCAUGCAAUAUUUGGGACAUACUUAUACUAAAA
rnacentral:pre_miRNA from 1 species